CGACAGUGUCUUGGGUUCAGUAAGUAAAAACUGCUAUGGUGCAAGAAUUAGAGAUGUUGUGUGUUUGUGUGGGUACUAAAAUAGGUCUUAUACUA